rnacentral:rRNA from 1 species
GGUCUGAGAGGAUGACCAGCCACACUGGAACUGAGACACGGUCCAGACUCCUACGGGAGGCAGCAGUGGGGAAUAUUGCACAAUGGGCGCAAGCCUGAUGCAGCCAUGCCGCGUGUGUGAAGAAGGCCUUCGGGUUGUAAAGCACUUUCAGCGAGGAGGAAGGUGGUGAGGUUAAUACGCUCAUCAAUUGACGUUACCCGCAGAAGAAGCACCGGCUAACUCCGUGCCAGCAGCCGCGGUAAUACGGAGGGUGCAAGCGUUAAUCGGAAUUACUGGGCGUAAAGCGCACGCAGGCGGUCUGUCAAGUCGGAUGUGAAAUCCCCGGGCUCAACCUGGGAACUGCAUUCGAAACUG